rnacentral:tRNA from 1 species
GGCCUGUUAGCUCAGUUGGUUAGAGCGUCGUGCUAAUAACGUGAAGGUCGCAGGUUCCAGACCUGCAUGGGCCA